rfam:Ornithorhynchus anatinus Cont10764.1, whole genome shotgun sequence.
CUCUUUGUUGUCAAUGAUGCAUUCAUGUUGAAACUGAAUCCAAGUGAUUUAACUGAACAAUUCGUCACUACCACUGAGACAACACAAAA